GCUUCCGUAGUGUAGUUGGUUAUCACGUCUGCUUUACACGCAGAAGGUCCUCAGUUCGAACCUGGGCGGGAGCA